rnacentral:rRNA from 1 species
AGGGUAUGAUACUGGCUCAGAACGAACGCUGGCGGCGUGGAUUAGGCAUGCAAGUCGCACGAGAAAGCCGGAGCAAUCUGGCGAGUAAAGUGGCGAAAGGGUGAGUAAUACCUGGGCAACCUGCCGUUGAGAUCGGUAUAACCCGCUGAAAGGCGGGCUAAUCCCGGAUACGUUCCUCGGUCGCAUGGCCGGGGAGGAAAGGUGGGGCUCCCGCAAGGGACCUGCCGCUCGAUGAGGGACCCAGGGCCUAUCAGCUAGUUGGUAGGGUAACGGCCUACCAAGGCGAUGACGGGUACGGGGCCUGAGAGGGUGUUCCCGCACACUGGGACUGAGACACUGCCCAGACUCCUACGGGAGGCUGCAGUCGAGAAUCUUUGGCAAUGGGCGCAAGCCUGACCAAGCGACGCCGCGUGGGGGAUGAAGGCCUUCGGGUCGUAAACCCCUGUUGGGGUGUAGGAUGCGGGGAAGUGCUAACACCAUUUUCCCGUGACUUAAAGCCCUGAGGAAGCCACGGCUAACUCUGUGCCAGCAGCCGCGGUAAGACAGAGGUGGCAAGCGUUGUUCGGAUUCACUGGGUUUAAAGAGCACGUAGGCGGUCGGCCAUGUCCGGUGUGAAAGCCCCCGGCUCAACCGGGGAACUGCGCCGGAAACUAUCCGACUCGAGGGCAGGAGAGGAGAGUGGAACUCCAGGUGUAGCGGUGAAAUGCGUAGAUAUCUGGAGGAACGCCGGAGGCGAAAGCGACUCUCUGGACUGUCCCUGACGCUGUGGUGCGAAAGCCAGGGGAGCGAACGGGAUUAGAUACCCCGGUAGUCCUGGCCGUAAACGAUGCGCACUGAGUGGGGUGGGCUCCGAUGUCUACCCUGCUGUAGCAAAAGUGUUAAGUGCGCCACCUGGGAACUACGGCCGCAAGGCUAAAACUCAAGGUAAUUGACGGGGGCUCACACAAGCGGUGGAGCAUGUUGUUUAAUUCGAGGCAACGCGAAGAACCUUACCCGGGCUUGACAUGCACGGAUUAAGUCGGUGAAAGCCGGGCCACACCCGCAAGGGUGGAACGUGCACAGGUGUUGCAUGGCUGUCGUCAGCUCGUGCCGUGAGGUGUUGGGUUAAGUCCCGUAACGAGCGAAACCCUUGCCACUAGUUACCAUCAGUUCGGCUGGGGACUCUAGUGGGACUGCCGCCGUCAAGGCGGAGGAAGGUGGGGAUGACGUCAAGUCAUCAUGGCCCUUAUGUCCGGGGCGACUAACGUGCUACAAUGGCCGGUACAAAGGGACGCAAGGCCGCAAGGCGGAGCCAAUCCCAGAAAGCCGGUCCCAGCUCGGAUUGGGGGCUGCAAUUCGCCCCCAUGAAGCCGGAAUCGCUAGUAACCGCAGAUCAGCUACGCUGCGGUGAAUAUGUUCCUGAGCCUUGUACACACCGCCCGUCAAGCCACCCGAGUCGAGGGCACCCGAAGCCGCGUCUCAUAAGCGCGUCUAAGGUGAAACCGGCGAGGGGGACUAAGUCGUAACAAGGUAGCCGUAUCGGAAG